UAGGGAAUCUUCCGCAAUGGGCGAAAGCCUGACGGAGCAACCCCGCGUGAGUGAUGAAGGUCUUCGGAUCGUAAAACUCUGUUAUUAGGGAAGAACAAAUGUGUAAGUAACUAUGCACGUCUUGACGGUACCUAAUCAGAAAGCCACGGCUAACUACGUGCCAGCAGCCGCGGUAAUACGUAGGUGGCAAGCGUUAUCCGGAAUUAUUGGGCGUAAAGCGCGCGUAGGCGGUUUUUUAAGUCUGAUGUGAAAGCCCACGGCUCAACCGUGGAGGGUCAUUGGAAACUGGAAAACUUGAGUGCAGAAGAGGAAAGUGGAAUUCCAUGUGUAGCGGUGAAAUGCGCAGAGAUAUGGAGGAACACCAGUGGCGAAGGCGACUUUCUGGUCUGUAACUGACGCUGAUGUGCGAAAGCGUGGGGAUCAAACAGG
rnacentral:rRNA from 1 species